rnacentral:rRNA from 1 species
AGAGUUUGAUCCUGGCUCAGGAUGAACGCUAGCGACAGGCUUAACACAUGCAAGUCGAGGGGCAGCACAGGUAGCAAUACCGGGUGGCGACCGGCGCACGGGUGAGUAACGCGUAUGCAACUUGCCUAUCAGAGGGGGAUAACCCGGCGAAAGUCGGACUAAUACCGCAUGAAGCAGGGAUCCCGCAUGGGAAUAUUUGCUAAAGAUUCAUCGCUGAUAGAUAGGCAUGCGUUCCAUUAGGCAGUUGGCGGGGUAACGGCCCACCAAACCGACGAUGGAUAGGGGUUCUGAGAGGAAGGUCCCCCACAUUGGUACUGAGACACGGACCAAACUCCUACGGGAGGCAGCAGUGAGGAAUAUUGGUCAAUGGGCGUAAGCCUGAACCAGCCAAGUCGCGUGAGGGAUGAAGGUUCUAUGGAUCGUAAACCUCUUUUAUAAGGGAAUAAAGUGCGGGACGUGUCCCGUUUUGUAUGUACCUUAUGAAUAAGGAUCGGCUAACUCCGUGCCAGCAGCCGCGGUAAUACGGAGGAUCCGAGCGUUAUCCGGAUUUAUUGGGUUUAAAGGGUGCGUAGGCGGCCUUUUAAGUCAGCGGUGAAAGUCUGUGGCUCAACCAUAGAAUUGCCGUUGAAACUGGGGGGCUUGAGUAUGUUUGAGGCAGGCGGAAUGCGUGGUGUAGCGGUGAAAUGCAUAGAUAUCACGCAGAACCCCGAUUGCGAAGGCAGCCUGCCAAGCCAUUACUGACGCUGAUGCACGAAAGCGUGGGGAUCAAACAGGAUUAGAUACCCUGGUAGUCCACGCAGUAAACGAUGAUCACUAGCUGUUUGCGAUACACUGUAAGCGGCACAGCGAAAGCGUUAAGUGAUCCACCUGGGGAGUACGCCGGCAACGGUGAAACUCAAAGGAAUUGACGGGGGCCCGCACAAGCGGAGGAACAUGUGGUUUAAUUCGAUGAUACGCGAGGAACCUUACCCGGGCUUAAAUUGCAGAUGAAUUACGGUGAAAGCCGUAAGCCGCAAGGCAUCUGUGAAGGUGCUGCAUGGUUGUCGUCAGCUCGUGCCGUGAGGUGUCGGCUUAAGUGCCAUAACGAGCGCAACCCUUGCCACUAGUUACUAACAGGUAAAGCUGAGGACUCUGGUGGGACUGCCAGCGUAAGCUGCGAGGAAGGCGGGGAUGACGUCAAAUCAGCACGGCCCUUACAUCCGGGGCGACACACGUGUUACAAUGGCGUGGACAAAGGGAAGCCACCUGGCGACAGGGAGCGAAUCCCCAAACCACGUCUCAGUUCGGAUCGGAGUCUGCAACCCGACUCCGUGAAGCUGGAUUCGCUAGUAAUCGCGCAUCAGCCAUGGCGCGGUGAAUACGUUCCC